rnacentral:rRNA from 1 species
AUUGAACGCUGGCGGCAGGCCUAACACAUGCAAGUCGAACGAGUGGCGGACGGGUGCGUAAUGUCUGGGAAACUGCCUGAUGGAGGGGGAUAACUACUGGAAACGGUCGCUAAUACCGCAUACCCUCAGAUGUGCCCAGAUGGGAUUAGAUUGUUGGUGGGGUAACGGCUCACCAAGGCGACGAUCCCUCGCUGGUCUGAGAGGAUGACCAGCCACACUGGAACUGAUACACGGUCCAGAAUCCUACGGGAGGCAGCAGUGGGGAAGAUUGCACAAUUGGCGCAAGCCUGAUGCAGCCAUGCCGCGUGUAUGAAGAAGGCCUUCGGGUUGUAAAGUACUUUCAGCGGGGAGGCGUUACCCGCAGAAGAAGCACCGGCUAACUCCGUGCCAGCAGCCGCGGUAAUAC